rnacentral:rRNA from 1 species
CCCUUAGAUGUCCUGGGCCGCACGCGCGCUACACUGAGUGUCUGAGAUACGAGUCUGCCUAGCCGGCGAGGUCUAGGUAAUCGCUGAAAGACACAUCAUGCUUGGGAUAGAUUAUUGCAGAUAUUAAUCUUGAACGAGGAAUUCCUAGUAAGCGCAAGUCAACAGCUCGCGUUGAUUACGUCCCUGCCCUUUGUACACACCGCCCGUCGCUACUACUGAUUGGAUGUUUAAGCGAGGUUCUCGAACUGCUAGCGACUUAGCUUCGGUGAGGUCGCCGUGUGGGAAGUGAACCUAGCUUUGGUGUCUAGAGGAAGUAAAAGUCGUAUCA